GCCGAGAUCCCGCCAUUCAUUGCACUCCAGCCUCGGAAACUAGCAAAACUCCAUCUUAAAAAAAAAGAGGAGGCCGGGUGCAGUGGCUCUGCACAACACUUUGGGAGGCCGAGGCAGGUGGAUCACCUGAGGUCAGAAAUCCGAGACCAGCCUGGCCAACAUGGUGGAACCCCAUCUCUACUAAAAAUGCAAAAAGUAGCCGGGCGUGGUAGCGGGCCCCAGUAAUCCCAGCUGAGGUGGGAGAAUUGCUUGAACCCGGGAGGCCAAGGCUGCAGUGAGCCAAGAUCGCACCACUGCACUCUAGCGUGGGUGACAGAUCAAGACCUUGUCUCAAAAAACAAGAAGAAGAAAAACUACUUUUUUUUUUUCAGAUGGGGUCUCACUCUCACCCAGUCUGGAGUGCAGUGGCGCCAUCUCAGCUCAUUGCAGCCUCUGCCUCCUGGGCUUGAGUGAUCUUCCCACCUCGACCUCCUGAGUAGCUGAACCACAAGUGCAUGCCUGGCCAAUUUUUGUAUUUUUGGUAGAAAUGGAGUUUCACCAUGUUGCCCAGGCUGGUCUCAAAACUGGCCUCCCAAAGUGCUGGGAUUACAGACACAACUGGCCUACCUGCAGGAUUUUCAGUUUAUGGACAUGACUGACUGGAGACAUGGAGAAGCUGUUGUUAUUGGAGAUUUUUAUUACUCGCAUUUCCUGAGCGAUGGGGACACUCACUGUGGGGAAAAGCAAGAGAGAUCAGAUUGUUACUGUGUCUGUGUAGAAAGAAGUAGACAUAGGAGACUCCAUUUUGUUCUGUACUAAGAAAAAUUCUUCUGCCUUGGGAUCCUGUUGAUCUGUGACCUUACCCCCAACCCCGUGCUCUCUGAAACAUGUGCUACGUCCACUCAGGGUUAAAUGGAUUAAGGGCGGUGCAAGAUGUGCUUUGUUAAACAGAUGCUUGAAGGCAGCACGCUCCUUAAGAGUCAUCACCACUCCCUAAUCUCAAGUACCCAGGGACACAGAAACUGCGGAAGGCCGCAGGGUCCUCUGCCUAGGAAAGCCAGGUAUUGUCCAAGGUUUCUCCCCAUGUGAUAGUCUGAAAUAUGGCCUCGUGGGAAGGGAAAGACCUGACCGUCCCCCAGCCCGACACCCGUAAAGGGUCUGUGCUGAGGAGGAUUAGUAUAAGAGGAAGGAAUGCCUCUUGCAGUUGAGACAAGAGGAAGGCAUCUGUCUCCUGCCUGUCCCUGGGCAAUGGAAUGUCUCAGUAUAAAACCCGAUUGUAUGUUCCAUCUACUGAGAUGGGGAAAAACCGCCUUAGGGCUGGAGGUGGGACCCGCGGGCAGCAAUACUGCUUUGUAAAGCAUUGAGAUGUUUAUGUGUAUGCAUAUCUAAAGCACAGCACUUAAUCCUUUACAUUGUCUAUGAUGCAAAGACCUUUGUUCACGUGUUUGUCUGCUGACCCUCUCCCCACAAUUGUCUUGUGACCGUGACACAUCCCCCUCUUUGAGAAACACCCACAAAUGAUCAAUAAAUACUAAGGGAACGCA
rnacentral:lncRNA from 1 species